rnacentral:pre_miRNA from 1 species
AAUAAGUGCAGUUUUGCACUAUUCAUGUUCAACGUUUGACCGUCCGUCUUAUUUGAAAUUUUUUUAUGAUUAGUAUUUUUAUUGCUAUUAGAUGAUAAAAUAUGAAUAGUACUUUAUGUGUGACUAAAUGUUUUUAAUUUUUUCACAAAUUUUUCAAAUAAGACGGACGGUCAAACGUUGAACGUGAAUAGUGUAAAACUGCACUUAUU